UGAACGCUAGCGGGAGGCCUAACACAUGCAAGCCGAGCGGGAUUUGUUGGUUAGCUUGCUAACUAACAAUGAGAGCGGCGUACGGGUGCGUAGCACGUGUGCAACCUGCCUUUAUCUGGGGGAUAGCCUUUCGAAAGGAAGAUUAAUACCCCAUAACAUAUUGAUUGGCAUCAGUUAAUAUUGAAAGCUCCGGCGGAUAGAGAUGGGCACGCGUAAGAUUAGCUAGUUGGUGAGGUAACGGCUCACCAAGGCUGCGAUCUUUAGGGGGCCUGAGAGGGUGAUCCCCCACACUGGUACUGAGACACGGACCAGACUCCUACGGGAGGCAGCAGUGAGGAAUAUUGGACAAUGGGUGAGAGCCUGAUCCAGCCAUCCCGCGUGAAGGACUAAGGACCUAUGGUUUGUAAACUUCUUUUAUACAGGGAUAAACCUACUCUCGUGAGGGUAGCUGAAGGUACUGUAUGAAUAAGCACCGGCUAACUCCGUG
rnacentral:rRNA from 1 species